GCUGGGUAUAGUGGUGUGCACCUGUAAUCCCAGCUACUAAGAAAGCUAACAUGGGAGGAUCCCUUGAGCCUAGGAGUUCCAGGCUGCAGUGAGCUAUGAUUGAGCCACUGUACUCCAGCCUAGGCAAUAGAGUGAGACCCUGUAUUUU
ensembl:misc_RNA Metazoa_SRP Metazoan signal recognition particle RNA